rnacentral:rRNA from 1 species
UACGUAGGGUGCAAGCGUUGUCCGGAAUUAUUGGGCGUAAAGAGCUCGUAGGCGGUUUGUCACGUCGGAUGUGAAACCCUGAGGCUCAACCUCAGGCCUGCAUUCGAUACGGGCAGACUAGGAUUCGGCAGGGGAGACUGGAAUUCCUGGUGUAGCGGUGAAAUGCGCAGAUAUCAGGAGGAACACCAAUGGCGAAGGCAGCUCACUGGGACGGUAUUGACGCUGAGACGCGAAAGCGUGGGGAGCAAACAGG